rnacentral:rRNA from 1 species
AGAGUUUGAUCCUGGCUCAGAACGAACGCUGGCGGCGUGGAUAAGACAUGCAAGUCGAACGAGACUUUUCGUUGUAGCAAUACGAUGGAAAGUUUAGUGGCGAACGGGUGCUUAACACGUGGGCAACCUGCCAUGAAGUGGGGGAUAGCUCGCCGAAAGGCGAAUUAAUACCGCAUGUGAUUAGAAAGGACAUCCUUUCAAAAUUAAAGUCGGGGCAACCUGACGCUUCUUGUGGGGCCCGCGGCCUAUCAGCUAGUUGGUGAGGUAACGGCUCACCAAGGCUUUGACGGGUAGCUGGUCUGAGAGGACGACCAGCCACACUGGGACUGAGACACGGCCCAGACACCUACGGGUGGCAGCAGUCGAGAAUUUUUGACAAUGGGGGAAACCCUGAUCGAGCGACGCCGCGUGGAGGAUGAAGGUCUUCGGAUUGUAAACUCCUGUCAUUUGGGAACAAGGUGCACACGUUAACUGCGUGCGUAUUGAUAGACCAGAAGAG